AUGGCGAUCAGUGUAGCUAUGCUUUGGUUACUCGGUACUGUCGUGUUAACAACGUUGGCGUCCGCAGUCACCCCGCCCGAGGGCUCCAAGAAUCGCCACUACGAUUUCGCUAUAAAAAAGACUAACUACACAAGGCUGUGUCACGAGAAGACCGUGCUCACCGUGAACGGCCAGUUCCCCGGUCCGACCAUCUACGCGCGCAAGGGCGACAUCGUCAUCGUCAACGUCAUCAACCAAGGCAAAAAAAACAUCACCAUCCACUGGCAUGGUGUGGACCAGCCAAGGAACCCGUGGUCCGACGGCCCGGAGUACAUAACACAGUGUCCCAUCCAGCCCAGCGCCAACUUCACCUACACGGUCAUCUUGUCCGAAGAAGAGGGCACGCUGUGGUGGCAUGCGCACAGCGACUUUGACCGCACCACCGUCCAUGGCGCCAUCGUCAUCCACCCCAAGAAGGGUACCACCUUUCCCUUCAAGAAGCCACACAAGGAGAUACCUGUCAUCCUCGGUGAGUGGUGGAACGCCGAUGUGAACCGUCUGCUCCAGGAGGCCAAACGGACUGGUGGCGAGGUCAAUAUUUCUGAUGCGAACACCAUCAACGGCCAGCCGGGAGACCUGUUCCCGUGCUCCAAGAACGGCACCUUCAAGCUGCACGUGGAGAGUGGCAAGACGUAUCUGCUCCGGAUCAUCAACGCGGCACUGGCCAACGAGCUCUUCUUCGGCAUCGCAGGGCACCGUCUCACAGUGGUUGGCACAGACGCGCGCUACACCAAGGCGUUAACCGUCGACUAUAUCAUGAUCUCGCCGGGCCAGACCGUGGACGCGCUCCUGGAGGCCGACCGCGCCGCGAACGGUUCGUCCAAUUGCCGGUACUACAUGGCGGCACGGACGUUCGCGUCGAACACCGGCAUCGACUUCAAUAACAGCACCGCCACAGCCAUCGUGGAGUACACGGACGCGCCACGUGCCACACGCGCGGGCACGCCGGACUUCCCCAACCUUCCAGCCGUCAAUGACACCGACGCGGCGACGACAUACACAGAGCAGCUCCGGUCCUUGGCCAGCAAGGACCACCCCGCAGACGUGCCGGCCCAUGUCGACGAGCACAUGCUCAUCACCAUCGCCGUCAAUGUGCUCCCAUGCACGGGCAACAUGACGUGCGAUGGUCCACUCAGCAGCCGCUUCGCCGCUAGCCUCAACAACGUAAGCUUCCAGACCCCCUCCGUCGACGUCCUCGAUGCCUACUACGGCUCCGUCCGCGGCGUGUACGAGCCAGACUUCCCCGACAAGCCGCCCUUCUUCUUCAACUUCACCGACGACAAUGUCCCCACGGAGCGCUGGUUCACGAAGCGCGGCACCAAGGUGAAGGUACUCGAGUACGGAGCCGUGGUGGAGGUGGUUUUCCAGGACACUGCCAUUCUAGGCGCCGAGACCCACCCGAUGCACCUGCACGGAUUCGCCUUCUACGUGGUGGGAAGAGGGUUCGGGAACUUCGACAAGCACAAGGAUCCGGCCACGUACAACUUGAUCGACCCGCCGUACCAGAACACCGUCUCCGUGCCGAAGGCUGGUUGGGCCGCAGUUCGCUUCCGUGCUACAAAUCCCGGUGUGUGGUUUAUGCACUGCCACUUCGAUCGUCAUCAGGUUUGGGGGAUGGACACUGUGUUCAUCGUAAAGGAUGGCAAGACCCCCCAAGCUAAAAUGAUGCGCCGUCCUGCGGGCAUGCCUAGGUGCUAA
rnacentral:rRNA from 1 species